rnacentral:rRNA from 1 species
GACGAACGCUGGCGGCGUGCUUAACACAUGCAAGUCGAGCGAGGCCCUCUUUCGGGGGGUGCCCUAGCGGGCGAACGGGUGAGUAACACGUGGGCAACCUGCCCUCAGCUCUGGGAUAACUCCAAGAAAUUGGUGCUAAUACCGGAUGUGACCGCUGACCGCAUGGUCUGGUGGUGGAAAGAUUUAUCGGCUGAGGAUGGGCCCGCGGCCUAUCAGCUUGUUGGUGGGGUCAUGGCCUACCAAGGCGACGACGGGUAGCCGG